UAAUACGAAGGGACCUAGCGUAGUUCGGAAUUACUGGGCGUAAAGCGCGCGUAGGCCGUUGAGUUAGUUAAUUGUGAAAUCCCAAAGCUUAACUUUGGAACUGCAAUUAAAACUGCUCGACUAGAGUUUGAUAGAGGAAAGCGGAAUACAUAGUGUAGAGGUGAAAUUCGUAGAUAUUAUGUAGAACACCAGUUGCGAAGGCGGCUUUCUGGAUCAACACUGACGCUGAGGCGCGAAAGUAUGGGUAGCAAAGAGGAUUAGAUACCCUCGUAGUCCAUACCAUAAACGAUGAUUGCUAGAUGUUGGAAAUUUAUUUUCAGUAUCGCAGCUAACGCAUUAAGCAAUCCGCCUGGGGAGUACGACCGCAAGGUUAAAACUCAAAUGAAUUGACGGGGACCCGCACAAGCGGUGGAGCAUGUGGUUUAAUUCGAAGAUACGCGCAGAACCUUACCAACCCUUGACAUGUCUGUCGCGAGUUUAGGAAACUAGACUUUCGGUUCGG
rnacentral:rRNA from 1 species